GGGUACUCGAGCGGCGAACGGGUGAGUAACACGUGAGCAACCUGCCCCUGACUCUGGGAUAAGCCCGGGAAACUGGGUCUAAUACCGGAUAUGACGCACUCUCGCAUGGGAUGUGUGUGGAAAGUUUUUCGGUUGGGGAUGGGCUCGCGGCCUAUCAGCUUGUUGGUGGGGUGAUGGCCUACCAAGGCGACGACGGGUAACCGGCCUGAGAGGGCGACCGGUCACACUGGGACUGAGACACGGCCCAGACUCCUACGGGAGGCAGCAGUGGGGAAUAUUGCGCAAUGGGCGGAAGCCUGACGCAGCGACGCCGCGUGGGGGAUGACGGCCUUCGGGUUGUAAACCUCUUUCAGCAGGGACGAAGCUAACGUGACGGUACCUGCAGAAGAAGCGCCGGCUAACUACGUGCCAGCAGCCGCGGUAAUACGUAGGGCGCAAGCGUUGUCCGGAAUUAUUGGGCGUAAAGAGCUCGUAGGCGGUUUGUCGCGUCUGUCGUGAAAGCCCACGGCUUAACUGUGGGUCUGCGGUGGAUACGGGCAGACUAGAGGCAGGUAGGGGAGAAUGGAAUUCCCGGUGUAGCGGUGAAAUGCGCAGAUAUCGGGAGGAACACCGGUGGCGAAGGCGGUUCUCUGGGCCUGUACUGACGCUGAGGAGCGAAAGCGUGGGGAGCGAACAGGAUUAGAUACC
rnacentral:rRNA from 1 species